rnacentral:rRNA from 1 species
CCUACGGGGGGCUGCAGUGAGGAAUAUUGGUCAAUGGGCUUACGCCUGAACCAGCCAAGUCGCGUGCGGGAAGACUGCCCUAUGGGUUGUAAACCUCUUUUGUCAGGGAGCAACGCCGGCUACGUGUAGCCGGCCUGAGAGUCCCUGAAGAAAAAGCCUCGGCUAACUCCGUGCCAGCGGCCGCGGUAAUACGGAGGAUGUGAGCGUUAUCCGGAUUUUUUGGGUUUAAGGGGUGCGUAGGCGGAAGUCCAAGUCAGCGGUAAAAUCGCGGGGCUCAACCUCGCUCCGCCGUUGAAACUGGCGUGCUUGAGUGGGCGAGAAGUAUGCGGAAUGCGUGGUGUAGCGGUGAAAUGCAUAGAUAUCACGAAGAACUCCGAUUGCGAAGGCAGCAUACCGGCGCCCAACUGACGCUGAAGCACGAAGGCGUGGGUAUCGAACAGGAUUAGAUACCCUUGUAGUC